AGGGGUGGGGUAGAUGGCGGCGACGAGGAAGGCAACAAGGAGGCACAGUCAGUAGCUCCCAGGCAGUGUGACCGUGCGUAAUGAUGUAUAACCGGCAACUGUGCAUCCCACUUAGUUAUUAUGUCAUAGUUGACAAUCCUUUUACGUGAAAUUUUCUUCCGAUCAUAUUAAAUAUCUAAAUACUCAAGGUCAAGGAUAACGUGAGUGCAUUACCAUCCUUAGAUUAUUUCUAACAAAAAUAUAGGGUAUAAACCUGAGAGAAAGAGGUGCAAAACGAAAGAAAAAGUAAAAUACUAUCGUACGUAGGAUCUUUAAAAAGAUUAUUAUUUGGGAUUUUUGGAGUUGGUACUACUCGGUACUGAGCUAGCAUUUAUUGCUAGUAAAUACCUUAGCCUAAAGAAAGAAGAAGAAAAAGAAGAAGGAGAAGAAGAAGAAGAAGAAGAAGUGGAGGAGGAAGAAGAGCUUGGGCUGAGGUGAAUUGGUCGAACACAGUGCUGCCAGUUGCAAGCUCUGUCUCUCUUUCUCUCUCUCUCUCUCUCUCGUUCGUUCGUUCUCACUCCAUCUAUCUAUCUAUCUAUCUAUCUAUCUAUCUAUCUAUCUCUAUCUAUCUCUUUUUGAACUGAGUCGACGCCGAAAGCUCGAUGCAAAUCGACGCCGUAUAAUAAUCAGUUCGAUGAAGAUCGACGUUAGCGUCCUCGUUAAUUUUCUUCCUAUUAAUUCUAUUUCUCUUUGUGGUGUGUCUUCUACGUGUCACGGUUCGAUAACAGCCAGAUGAACGUCGCCGACCUCAUCAGCAACACCAACAGCAACAGCAGCAUCAUCAUCAGUAACGUUGGCGUGUACCUGGAAAGUUAUAGUACCAUAGGAAGUACGUCGUUCUCUGAAACGCUCCAACGCUCUGCCGGAUGUCAACGAACUCCUCGUAGAGAAGAAAAGGAAGAAGAAGAAGAACAAGAAGAAGAACAAGAAACUUUCUCGUGCAUAACAGAGAAAGAAGAGCUGGAGUUUAACGGCAAGGUUAUCAAAACGAUUCCUAUCAAUUUAUUCGAUGGAGAUGAUUGUUUUGGUUUUAACACAAAUACAACGACCGCAACAUUUUCCACUAUAUCAUCGCUACAAAGUAGCUGAUUAUUCGAUCUAAAAUCAAUGAGAUAGGUCAUUGACUUAUGCACAUGCGGCUAACCGAAUCUUCGAACGACUAACAAACGAUUGGUACAAGAAGGCUAAAUCGAUGUCCAACUGACGGAUGCGCGCGAUCCCAUUGGCGAACGAGUUUUCAGGAAAAUGUCUCAGUACUCUUCGUAGAUAACAAGAAGAACGUUUGUUUGGAAGUAAUUUAUGAUAUGAGAAGAUUUUGAAACUUUUGUAGGAUACGUCGUAAUUGUACUUUUUGAUAAGAAUACUUAAGGUUUUUUUUAAGAAAAUUUACAAGUAAAACUGUGCAAAGUUAGAUAUAAACAGGUUCGAAUAAUAGUGCCUGCUAAAGUGUUUAAAGAAUAGGAUUACAUAGUGCUAUUAUAUUUCGCAGAAAGGAGAAAAAGAAAGGAAAGAGAGCGAGAGAAAGAGAGAGAGAGGGAGAGAGAGAUUAGAGGAAAGAAAUUUUAAGUAAAAGUCUAGUAACGUUAGAAUACUGGUGAGUUUUAGUCAAAAUUUGCUGGACGAGUGGCGGGGUAAUUACCGUUCUUUGCAUGGAGUGAUGAGCGGGGCCCCUGCACGGGGCACAGUGCCCCGACGUCAAAGACGCCAUCAUCAUCAUCAUCACCACCAUCAUCAUCAUCAUCAGAAACAUCCAAAACACGCUCGGAAAGAGCCUUCCGAGGAAUUGGAAGAAAAACGACCAAAGGUCAACCCGAUAUUCCUCUGGGCGUCUCAAAGAGAACAGAGGAUAGUCGAAGUUAGAUGCGAGGAUUAUGACAAGAGAAAUCGCAUUAAAUUGACGAAGACUGCGCAAGGAUGGCGUUCAAUACCGAGAACGACAUCCAAUAUGUAUUCCACCGGUCUCGGUACGAAUCAAGAAAAAAAAAUUACACCGGCGUGCACGUCGUCGAGUUCAAACUCGAACGAAGAAAAGGAAAAUGGGAAGACCGUGACCGCAACUAGCAUUAAUAAUAAUUUAAUAAUCGAUAAAGAAAGUAUCGGUAAGAAGCGUAGAUACGAAGACUUUUUGAAAGACAAGAAAUAUUCUCAGGAUUAUUACCCAUUGGAAAAUCUUCAAAAUGGAGUACGAGUCAGUAACGGGGAAUGGAAAAGGAAUCGAAGAAGGGUCUCCUGUUCGGAGGGGGAGGAGGAAGAGGAGGAAGAUGAGGAAGAGGAUGACGACGACGAUGAUGAAGAUGAAACCGAAGACGAAGAGCAAGAUGACGGGAGAAAAAAGAGUAGGUCCUUCGGAUCUAUGAAUUUGAAGAAUACCAACGGUAAAAGCAAUCUCGAAAGAUUGCAAAAGGACAUACACUUUCAACCGAGAGUAGUCCUAGAACAUCUUCACUUAUCUCAGCUACCUGAUCAUCGGGAUGCUCUUUUACGAAGGAGUGAUAAGAUCCUGAACGGUCUUAAGGAAGUCGGUGACACAUGCAACGAUGACGAGAAGGAUAGAGUGGAAGAUAAAGAACCGAACAACGAAAGACAGAAUGAAGAUAUCGACGGUGAGGAAGACGAAGAAGAUGAGGAUAAUGAUGAAGAGGACGAAGAGGAAGAGGAGGAAGAAGAAGCAGUGGAAGAAGAGAUUAAUGAUAGGAACAAAUGUCGAGAAAAUAAAGAGGGUAUUCAAGACAUAUUAAAUAUGAUAGAUGCCACAGCCUCACCCGUUUUAGCAACCGACACGCCCAGUGCCGACUUACCUAUGCAUUCUAACAAAACUUUCGAAUUAGUUUUGAGCGAGAACGUAUAUCAAAAGAAAAUUAGCGAUAAGAAGAGCAAAGACUUGGAUCCUGCCUUACCUAGUACGGUAAUAAAAAAUAAAUCAAGGACAGACUUUAUAUCCAAUUAUCAAAAAGAAAAUGUUGAAAAUAAUGAUAAUAUUAAUGAUUGUGAUCAAUUAGAAGUACACGAGGAGAAGAUACUCGAGCGUUGCAAUUUAAAUCUCGACGAAAGAAAAAGUCAUUUAUCAAAAGAAUCAACUUUUGUUGCUUGCAAAAAUAAUAGUAGUAGUAGUAGCAGUAGUAGUAGUAGUAAUAGUAAUAAUAAUAAUAAUAGUAGUAGUAUCGAUAUCAAAUCUUGCAAAGUGGCAGAAGCUGACGGUGGUAUUAGUCGUUCCAAAUCUGAAUCGAAUUCUCUCCUUCAUAAAUGGAAAAACAACGUAGCUAUGAACGUAUCGAAAAUAAACGAGGAAGCACCUAGCGAACCCGGUGGACCAACGAAGAUAGAUUACAGUAGUAGUUCAACGAUAUUGAACGCCCUUAGAAAUACUCCAGGACUUUCAGUUUCCAUAACGAGAGCUCAUCCUCAAGAAGUAACCAAAAAUAUAAACCCACCUUCCUCCAGACCCUCAUCGAAAAGUUCCUCGUCGAGCAGAUCACCCGAUAGUCAGGCAGAAAACGUAGAAAGACUUUUGAAAGGUACCAUGAUCGAUUACUCCUCAACGAGAUCGUUCGAUGUCCGUGGUCAAGCAUUAAAUUUACCUCGAAACCUUCCAGGUUUGUCGAUCGUCAUACCGAAUUAUCGUUAUCGUAACGUAUCUAAUUCACAGUCAACGACGAGUUCGACCUCACCAAAAACCAAGGACAGAGUGGAAUCGCCAGAGAGUACUGUUAAUUUUCCAAAAACUGACUUCCCACAUGAGGAGGAGGAAGAAAGAGAUCUCGAGGACGACGAAGACGAUUGCGAUUCACAAGUUUUGGAAGAUCUUAGAAGGCAAAAAGUUGAUUCUUUAGUUUUUGAUAGCGUCGAUAGUGGUUGUUUUCAUAGAUCAAAUUCUAGGAACAAUCAGGAUGAUCGCAAUACUCCUAUAGAAAAUGUUAAGGAUCGUACAGAUGGUAGUGCAUGGAACGGUUCCGGUCGUAGUAGCGAAGCUCAAGCAAAGUGCAAGUACCAGGACGUGGAACACUUUGAUGAACAGGUCCUCGAAGAACUUAGAUCUCGCGGUACAGUGGUUUCGCCUCAACCCAGUGGUAUUCCGUGUUCGCCUGCCUCUAAAAGGCCAUCUUCGGUAUACUUGGAAAGACUGUUACCAAGCCCACCUUGUUCGGUGUCCUGUUCUGAAGAUGCUAAAAACGAUUUGACUUUAAAGGGUAUUUUAUCAUCCCCGAGUUGUCUUGAAAAUAAAGAUUACGAUAGAAACAGGGAAAGUACGUCAAAUCGAUGCGAGCCUGGAUCAAACGAAUAUACGGCUACUACUCCUCGGUCGGAUUAUUCCAAAGAUAAUGAAAGAUCCAACGUUGGUGGUACGCGUAGAACUGUACGAACUUUUCAAGAACAUUCUAACGUACAAAAUCAAGAGAUGAAGAAUUCGGGAAGACUAAUGUCGAAUAGUGAUAUUCAAAGUAGUCUCUUUAUAAGCGAUCGUAGUACAGCGAAGAAACCUAUGUCGGCCGAAUGGACGAUUAAUCGGUUAAGAAAACAAGCAGGUUAUCAUAAAAUAUUGGUAAGAUCUAGAAUGCAAUCGACGGAGUAUCAAGAGGGUUACGCGACGUCUACCAGUACGGACAAGCUUUUGGACCCGGCCAGUCAACUUAGAGAGUUGAUAGAAACAUCCGGUCAUUUAAUACCUGAUCCCCUUUUAGUACCACGUGACUAUCUUCCAGCUUUGGCCGCUGCCCCGGCUACCGAAAUUCCGAAACUUUUAGCCUCGAGGCCAGAAUUAAGAUUACCAGAAGCAUUGACGAGACCGGAUCUAUUAAGAGAUCCAGAUUUAUUAGUGAUAUCGUUGAGUCAUCUGCAACACGUGCUCGAUCACGGAGAAGGUCCUGUCUCCAGGUCACGACAAUCCCAAUCUAGGAUCGGCAACGGCGUUAACAAAGGAUCAAGUCACGCUAACAACAACGGUACCAGGAACGGUACACAAAUAAGGCCCAAGCUUAGUUGCAAGCCCAUCGGCACGCUGAUGCCGGCGCCAAUCGAUCUCUCCAGCAAUCGCCGCUCCAGCCCCUAUCCGCCAUUACUCAGGGUACGAACUGGAUUGCUCAAACAGGAACCGGAAGUCAGUUCGACGGCCAACUCGCCGGAUGAUUCGCAACUUUGGCAUCCCCUUUUUGGCAGGAGGGACACACCGAUAGCUACGAAAAUACCGAUACUCCGUCGUUCUAGCGAGGACGCUUUUUGCAGCGAGGAGGAUCGAUCGAGGUAGCGUUGCUCCGCACGUGCGCAGAUCACAUUCUCUCGCAUGCUGAGGCCACCACGUCACUCCUCGCCGAGUCAGAAGAGGCAAUUACAACAACAGCAACAAAUUCAGCAGCAACAUCAACAGCAUCAGUAUCAGCAUCAGUUUCCACAUCCACA
rnacentral:misc_RNA from 1 species